rnacentral:misc_RNA from 1 species
GUGAAUCAUCGAAUUUUUGAACGCAUAUUGCACCAUCUGGUAUUCCGGAGAGUAUGCCUAUUUGAGGGUCAUUUGAAAUAAUAUAAAUUUCUAGAUUUUCGUGAAAUCAUAAAUGGGUCGGUCCAGCUUUCGGGUGUUGGUCGCCUAAAAUGCAAUACAAGCUCAUUUCUGGGGUGGCGUUUUUCUUUCAGUUACCUCGUGACCUCACAAGAAAUCUUCGAUCUUGUUAAGAAUUGUGCAAGAAAUAAACUGCAUUUAUCUCUAGCUCUAUAUUAAAUUG